rnacentral:rRNA from 1 species
GGUAAAGUUGACGGGAACCCGCACAAGCGGUGGAGUAUGUUGUUUAAUUCGAAGAUACACGAAGAACCUUACCAGGUCUUGACAUACCAUUGACAGGCGCAGAGAUGUGCUCUCCUUCGGGCAAUGGAUACAGGUGGUGCAUGGUUGUCGUCAGCUCGUGCCGUGAGGUGUUGGGUUAAGUCCCGCAACGAGCGCAACCCUCAUUGUUAGUUACUACCAUUCAGUUGAGGACUCUAAUGAGACUGCCAACGAUAAGUUGGAGGAAGGUGGGGAUGACGUCAAAUCAUCAUGCCCUUUAUGACCUGGGCUACAAACGUACUACAAUGGCCAAUACAAAGAGAUGCGAAGCGGUGACGUGGAGCGAACCUCAGAAAGUUGGUCUCAGUUCAGAUUGAAGUCUGCAACUCGACUUCAUGAAGGCGGAAUCGCUAGUAAUCGCGGGUCAGCAGACCGCGGUGAAUACGUUCCCGGGUUUU